rnacentral:rRNA from 1 species
UACGUAGGGGGCAAGCGUUGUCCGGAUUUAUUGGGCGUAAAGAGCGUGUAGGCGGCCAUACAGGUCAGCUGUGAAAACUCGAGGCUCAACCUCGAGACGUCGGUUGAAACCGUAUGGCUAGAGUCCGGAAGAGGAGAGUGGAAUUCCCGGUGUAGCGGUGAAAUGCACAGAUAUCGGGAAGAACACCCGUGGCGAAGGCGGCUCUCUGGGACGGUACUGACGCUGAGACGCGAAAGCGUGGGGAGCGAACAGG